UCGUCUUCACUUCACAAUCUCCAAAAUGCCAUCAUACUAUCAAAAAUAUAAUCUACUCAUCAAUACGAGUCUAACGAUACCCAUAUUGCACUAUUGUUCUUCGGGUUAAAAAAUGACACCAAAAAGCCUAAGUGGGUCCCAUGUAUGGAAAUCGAGUUUUCGAGGUCAACCCAAUGCUCAUCUAUCACCAAGGAAGCAUAACCCUCAAUUGAUGGGUGCAAACAAAUGAAAUUUGGGGCUAAUUAUCAGACAAUGGCUUUUAUGAUAAAACCGAGCGAACUGACUGACCAUCACUUGGAGCGUACAAAGGGAAGAUUACUCAGCAAACUGGUCUUGUAAAUGAAAUCCCGUUUGAUGUUGAUUAUGUGCAAAAUAUCCCACAACAAGCGUCUGAUAGUUUGGACUGUGGUAUAUUUGUGUGUGCCUAUGCAGAAAUAUUAAGCGAAGGACUACAAGUUCAUUCAUGUGGAUUUGAUGUUGCAAGUCAACGUGCACGCUAUGCUUCCUUACUGUGGCAUUAUGGAGUGGAAAAGGCAAAUGAAGGGUACACGAGUGAUAAUGGAGAUCCGCCUCGACCAAGGAAAAGUGUAAUCAAAGAAAUUGAAGCAAAUGCAAUUGUUACAUUAGAGUAGCAAUGUUUUCUAAUUGUUGGCAUUGAAAGAACUAUUUCUUAUUUUGGUGUUUAAUAUUAAACAUUUUCAGGAAUACUUUCUUAUUGUUAAUGAAUAUUUUAUGGAUGUCUUUUUUUUUUUUUGAAAC